CAGUCGCCGCGGUAACACCGAGGGUGCAAGCGUUAAUCGGAAUUACUGGGCGUAAAGCGCGCGUAGGUGGUUCGUUAAGUUGGAUGUGAAAUCCCCGGGCUCAACCUGGGAACUGCAUCCAAAACUGGCGAGCUAGAGUAGGGCAGAGGGUGGUGGAAUUUCCUGUGUAGCGGUGAAAUGCGUAGAUAUAGGAAGGAACACCAGUGGCGAAGGCGACCACCUGGGCUCAUACUGACACUGAGGUGCGAAAGCGUGGGGAGCAAACAGGAUUAGAUACCCCUGUAGUCCCUGUCUCUUAUAC
rnacentral:rRNA from 1 species